CCCCUGCUUGAGACUACAGCUCAAUG
rnacentral:tRNA from 1 species